rnacentral:rRNA from 1 species
ACGGAGCAACGCCGCUUGAGUGAUGAAAGUUUUCGGAUCGUAAAGCUCUGUUGUUAGGGAAGAACAAGUGCGAGAGUAACUGCUCGCACCUUGACGGUACCUAACCAGAAAGCCACGGCUAACUACGUGCCAGCAGCCGCGGUAAUACGUAGGUGGCAAGCGUUGUCCGGAAUUAUUGGGCGUAAAGGGCUCGCAGGCGGUUUCUUAAGUCUGAUGUGAAAGCCCCCGGCUCAACCGGGGAGGGUCAUUGGAAACUGGGAAACUUGAGUGCAGAAGAGGAGAGUGGAAUUCCACGUGUAGCGGUGAAAUGCGUAGAGAUGUGGAGGAACACCAGUGGCGAAGGCGACUCUCUGGUCUGUAACUGACGCUGAGGAGCGAAAGCGUGGGGAGCGAACAGGAUUAGAUACCCUGGUAGUCCACGCCGUAAACGAUGAGUGCUAAGUGUUAGGGGGUUUCCGCCCCUUAGUGCUGCAGCUAACGCAUUAAGCACUCCGCCUGGGGAGUACGGUCGCAAGACUGAAACUCAAAGGAAUUGACGGGGGCCCGCACAAGCGGUGGAGCAUGUGGUUUAAUUCGAAGCAACGCGAAGAACCUUACCAGGUCUUGACAUCCUCUG